GACGAACGCUGGCGGCGUGCCUAAUACAUGCAAGUUGAGCGAUGAAGAUUGGUGCUUGCACCAAUUUGAAGAGCAGCGAACGGGUGAGUAACGCGUGGGGAAUCUGCCUUUGAGCGGGGGACAACAUUUGGAAACGAAUGCUAAUACCGCAUAACAACUUUAAACAUAAGUUUUAAGUUUGAAAGAUGCAAUUGCAUCACUCAAAGAUGAUCCCGCGUUGUAUUAGCUAGUUGGUGAGGUAAAGGCUCACCAAGGCGAUGAUACAUAGCCGACCUGAGAGGGUGAUCGGCCACAUUGGGACUGAGACACGGCCCAAACUCCUACGGGAGGCAGCAGUAGGGAAUCGUCGGCAAUGGACGAAAGUCUGACCGAGCAACGCCGCGUGAGGGAAGAAGGUUUUCGGAUCGUAAAACUCUGUUGGUAGAGAAGAACGUUGGUGAGAGUGGAAAGCUCAUCAAGUGACGGUAACUACCCAGAAAGGGACGGCUAACUACGUG
rnacentral:rRNA from 1 species